rnacentral:rRNA from 1 species
UACGUAGGGUGCGAGCGUUAAUCGGAAUUACUGGGCGUAAAGCGUGCGUAGGCGGUCCGCGAAGUCUGAUGUGAAAGCCCCGGGCUCAACCUGGGAAUGGCAUUGGAAACUGGUCAGCUGGAGUGUGGCAGAGGGGGGUGGAAUUCCGCGUGUAGCAGUGAAAUGCGUAGAGAUGCGGAGGAACACCGAUGGCGAAGGCAGCCCCCUGGGCCAACACUGACGCUCAGGCACGAAAGCGUGGGGAGCAAACAGG